UGGUAAGUGGCUCAGUGGUAGAGCACUUGCCUUGCAGGCCUGAGGACCUGGGUUCGAUUCCUCAGCACCAC
rfam:Dipodomys ordii contig_76988, whole genome shotgun sequence.